UACGGAGGUUGCGAGCGUUAUCCGGAAUCACUGGGUUUAAAGGGUGCGUAGGCGGCUCGGUAAGUCAGUUGUGAAAGCCCCUUGCUUAACGAGGGAGGUGCGAUUGAUACUGUCGAGCUUGAAUCGGGAUGAGGCAGGCGGAAUGUGGCAUGUAGCGGUGAAAUGCAUAGAUAUGCCAUAGAACACAGAUUUCGAAGGCAGCCUGCUGGGCCUGUAUUGUCGCUGAGGCACGAAAGCGUGGGGAGCAAACAGG
rnacentral:rRNA from 1 species